AUGCACUUCCCUUUCAGACCUUUUUGCAAAAGAAGGUUUGUGAAAACGCAGCUUGCAAAGGACACAAGAGAAGCAAGAAGCUGUGCAGUCACUGAGAGGCUGCUGCUGGCUGCCAGAUUGCAGGUCUUCAAAAUCCAGGCCAGGAGUCUCAGCAGAAUUGAUUGUGGCAGAAUGGCCUUUUUCAUGUCCCAGGACCUGAGAAGGGGCCUGCUGUAUUUAACCAACAUUUGGCAUCACAAUCCAGCAUUUAUGUCUAUUCCUUUCCCUGCUGGAUAUGUCAAAUGCUGUGAAAAUAAAAAUUUGGAAAACUUCUCUUUAAAUUUUGGAUAACAAUCAUUUUGAGAAAAAAAAAAAAAAAGAAAAAGAAAAAAAAUAAGUUUUUUUCCCCUCUAAAGCAGAUGUGCAAUAUCUAGAUGGGGUUUAUGCCACUGCUUCCCCAAAGUGGGGAGGAGAGCCUCCCCACUUUGGGCUACUGGACUUCAGAACAGAGAGAACUCAGAACUCCCUGAAAUGUCUCUCCUGCCACUGUGUACAUGUUUACAUCUAUUUUGCAGAUAAUGCCUCAGGAUCCCUGGGCAAAAGCUUUUCUUUUCCGCACAGAUCAAUGCCCCGAGACAUGAGCCCACCAGCCUGUUUUCUCUGCUGGCCCUGGUUACUUAGUGCAAUGCUUUGGAUGCUUAUUCAUCCAGCUGGCGUAGGGAACAUCUGCUGAAAACAUAUCAUCCUUACAAGUCUGUUACUGUACAUGAAUCAUGGAGAGGUGAAGGGAAUGGACUGUGUGGUCCAGUGGUCGGGGUCAUAGAGCCAAAUUUUCCCAGUAUGAAUCGGCAGUGACUCCACCAGCUCCAGCAGAGCGGAUAGGUGUAACGCGCAGCUUUUCUUGGAGGAAAUCUCUAUUUACACCUGCAUGAGUCAGAGGAGCAUCUGCUCAGAGAGCUCCACCUCUGCCAAGUCAAAGAGCAAGUGUGGGAAUCCUCAACCCCGCCGCGCUCAGGGGGCCACCACCCAGGAGCGGCUCUCCAAAACCCCAGAAGAGGACACUCCUGGAAAGCCCCACUGACACAUCAGAGCGAGGAAACCACAUUACAUGUAUUCAGAGAGGAGGCCUGGCCUUGCCCAGGGCAGUGGUUUCCCACCACCACGGGCCUGCAAGCAACAGCUGCUAGCAAGGAGGACACUGCUGCCUGUGCUCUCCUUGCUUGCUGCACGUAGCCGUGACUUAGGGCUUCAACAUCAGAGGGGUACAUCUGAAGGGCCAGAUUCUGCUUAUUUUUUUAUGUGUAUCUUUUUAGUGCUUUUAUUAGCACUAUUCGGGUUCCAUUGAAUUCAGGGUUGUGAACACAAAGCAACUCCACUUAAUUCCAUGGUGUAAAACCUUUGCUAAGAGGGGUUUUACUCUAGUUUUAUGGCAGCAUAACUGCAAACUUGAUAUGAAUGAAAGGAAAAGUAAUUUAUAUUCCUGGCCAGCUUUUCUUUCCCUGCCCCUGCCCAGCACAAUUUCAUAUCUAUAAUGCUCUUUUGCAGCAAUGGGAAAUAACAGAGAAACCUACUCCAAGGUAACAAUGGUAUUAGCUGCACAGUGCUAGACUUUAAAAUGGGGAGAUUAAAGACUGGCACUCUUUUAUAGAAUAAUAUAAAGAAACAACCUGAACUUUCUCCAAAAAUAAAUUAGCCUGCUAAAAUGUUGAGAAAUAAACA
rnacentral:lncRNA from 1 species